rnacentral:rRNA from 1 species
AGUGAACGCUGGCGGCGUGCCUAAUACAUGCCAGUCGAGCGACCGGACGGGAAGCUUGUUCUCUUGAUGUUGGCGGCGGACGGGCGGGUAACGCAUGGAUCACAUUCUUCUUUGUCUGGGAUGAUAACGGGAGACAGGAGACGCUACUGGAUCAUAUUUCCUACGGCAUGAUGCAAAAGUGCUUCACGCUUUUCCUGUCAGUUAUAGAUGGUUUCGCGUUGCAUUAGCUAGUUGGUAAGGUAACGGCUUACCAAGGCAACGAUGCAUAGCCGACCCGAGAGGAUGAUCGGCCACACUGGAACUGAGACACGGUCCAGACUCCUACGGGAGGCAGCAGUAGGGAAUCUUCCGCAAUGGGCGAAAGCCUGACGGAGCAACGCCGCGUGGGUGAUGAAGGUCUUCGGAUUGUAAAGCCCUUUUGUUGGGGAAGAACAGAUGUGUAUUUAUCUGUGGACAUCUUGACGGUACCUAAUCAAAAAGCCCCGGCUAACUACGUG